UACGGAAGGGGCAAGCGUUGUUCGGAAUCAUUGGGCGUAAAGGGCGCGUAGGUGGUUCUGUAUGUCUACCGUGAAAGCAUACAGCUCAACUGUAUUUUGUCGGUAGAAACUGCAGGACUUGAGGCUGGGAGGGGCUGGUGGAAUUCCCUGUGUAGCGGUGAAAUGCGUAGAGAUGGGGGGGAACACUCGUGGCGAAGGCGGCCAGCUAGACCAGUUCUGACACUGAGGCGCGACAGCGUGGGGAGCAAACAGG
rnacentral:rRNA from 1 species